rnacentral:rRNA from 1 species
UGGGGAAUUUUGGACAAUGGGCGAAAGCCUGAUCCAGCAAUGCCGCGUGUGUGGAGAAGGCCUUCGGGUUGUAAAGCACUUUUGUCCGGAAAGAAAUCCUUGGCUCUAAUACAGUCGGGGGAUGACGGUACCGGAAGAAUAAGCACCGGCUAACUACGUGCCAGCAGCCGCGGUAAUACGUAGGGUGCAAGCGUUAAUCGGAAUUACUGGGCGUAAAGCGUGCGCAGGCGGUUUGCUAAGACCGAUGUGAAAAUCCCCGGGCUCAACCUGGGAACUGCAUUGGUGACUGGCAGGCUAGAGUAUGGCAGAGGGGGGUAGAAUUCCACGUGUAGCAGUGAAAUGCGUAGAGAUGUGGAGGAAUACCGAUGGCGAAGGCAGCCCCCUGGGCCAAAUACUGACGCUCAUGCACGAAAAGCGUGGGGAGCAAAACAGGAUUAGAUACCCUGGUAGUCCACGCCCUAAAACGAUGUCACUAGUUGUUGGGGAUUGCAUUUCCUUAGUAACGUAGCUAAACGCGUGAAGUUGACCGCCUGGGGAGUAC